rnacentral:tRNA from 1 species
GCUCUUGAUCGUCAAGUCGGCGCCUUGGAAGCCUUGCAUGGCUCCUGCCAGGAUCUGGAAACCAUCAUGACCGCGUGCGAUACCGGC